rnacentral:lncRNA from 1 species
CUCUAUUUGUCACAUUGGUCCUUUCCGUUAAUUUAUCAACCACAAAUAUAUUAGGUGGAUCAACAUUGAAGGUGGUCCACCAUAUACUACAAUAUAUUUUUAAUUUUAACCAUUGGAUCUUUUGAAAGAGAAACAACCAUUAGAUUUUGCAUGUUCACAGAAUCUAACAGUGCACCAUCACCAACUAAGUUUUGUUUCUAUUUUUUCAUCUUCUUCGCUCAACUCCUUCAUCUUCAUCUUCAUCAUCUUCUUCAUGAUAUUCAUAAAAAAGCCAAAAAAAAUUCUUCAAAAUCCAGAAUUUCAUUAUUGAAUUACAAAAGGUUGGAUUUUUGUUCAUCUUAAUUAUUCUUCAUCUCUCUUUCUCUAGUACAACAAUUAAAAAGGGGCAAAAUAAUCCUAGUUCAUUCAAAAGCAAUAUCAUGGAAAAAAUUAAACAACAAGAACACCACCACCACCAUGCUAAUUCGAACAAAAACAACACUAAGAAAGUAGCUUAAUUUUCACAACAACAACACUGUGAAUCAUUNNNNNNNNNNNNUAUGGUGAUGAUGGUGUGGAUGGUGGUAGUGGUGAAAUUGAUAUGUUAACAUUUUCUGGCCAUUCUCAAAGUGGGAAAAGGAGUGAAAUUGAUAUGUUAACAUUUUCUGGCCAUUCUCUUUUAUUGUAUUUCAUCAGAUCGGAUUUCUUUAAGUGUUUUAUUUUCGGAUUGAAAUUUCUGAGUUUUUGUUUCAAUUUAAGAAAUUGUUGUUGAAGAUGAAGAACAAUGGAAGAAAGAAGAUGAUGAAAAGCAAAAACAAGAUUAAGUGUUGGUGGUACACCAUUAGAUACAAUAGACCUACAAAAUCUNNNNNNNNNNNNNNNNNNNNNNNNNNUAUCAAAUGGUUAAAAUUUAAAAAAUUAAGGAGGUCUUUGGUGAACCACUUAUAUUGUACGACAUAUUUGUUGAAACUAACGGUUUUUGAAAAAAAUUGACGGAAGGGACCAAUGUGACAAACGGAAAUGUCUUUAAGGGACUAAUCCGAACCUUUUUUUUCUUUAAGGGACCAUUGUGAAACCUCAAAUAUCUUUAAGGGACCAAAGAACUAAUUAAGCCU